rnacentral:tRNA from 1 species
CCUUUGAUAGCUCAGUUGGUAGAGCGGAGGAGUGUAGGUGGGUUGGUGGCAAUCCUUAGGUCGCUGGUUCGACUCCGGCUCGAAGGA